rnacentral:rRNA from 1 species
UACGUAGGGUGCAAGCGUUAAUCGGAAUUACUGGGCGUAAAGCGUGCGCAGGCGGUUGUGUAAGACAGGUGUGAAAUCCCCGGGCUCAACCUGGGAACUGCAUUUGUGACUGCACAGCUGGAGUGCGGCAGAGGGGGAUGGAAUUCCGCGUGUAGCAGUGAAAUGCGUAGAUAUGCGGAGGAACACCGAUGGCGAAGGCAAUCCCCUGGGCCUGCACUGACGCUCAUGCACGAAAGCGUGGGGAGCAAACAGG